rnacentral:lncRNA from 1 species
GGUCUCGAUCACCUGACCUUGUGAUCCGCCCGCCUCGGCCUCCCAAAGUGCUGGGAUUACAGACGUGAGCCAACUGUUCGAUUUUUCCUUUCCGUAUUCUGUUUUUUGGAAGCGAGUCACUAAAUCCAGCCCACACAUUGGGGGGAAAGAAAUUGAGCUCCACCUCCCGGAGUGGGAAGCCACUCCUCAGACCAGGAUUAGAAGAUUUUUCUUAGGGCUUCUAUUUUCACCCAGUGCAUGGUUCUAGAUUUCAGGUCACCUUUGAGUCAAGGACACGAUGGGGGAAUCCUGGAGGAAAAAUCAACAGGAAAUUCACCAACAGUUUGCUCUUACUUGAAGUUGUUUCCUUGGCAGAUUCACCCACUAUCAUUUGCUUUUCAGAGUCCUUAGAUAGCUGCUCUAUGAUUUAUUUGCAGGGUUUUCAGUUGCUUUUAGUAGGAGCAAGACAGAGUGAAGGGUGCAUAUACCAUCUUGAUUGGAACCAGAAACCCCUCAUUUAUUUUUUAUUCUCCAAUUAUGUCACGUACUCCCAUUCACUCAUUCACAUAUCCCUCAUUCUUUUAUGCAUUAUUAUAUACCUGCUUAUAAAAUCAUACAUAUGUCAAUGAAUACCCCUGAUUUGACCACAUAAUCAGGUGUUAUGCUAGUCACUACAGAUACAGACAUGAAAUAUUGUUACUAUCUCAAAAAAUUCUUGGGCUACAAAGAAAACAGAUGAAUUAUUAGAUGUAAAUACAGUGGAAUGACUGCUAUGAUAUAUGGAAGCCCCAACUGCCUUAAAUGAGGGGAUCUGUAAGGAAACAGCCGCCUGGCUUCAGGAAGUUGUCUCCUUUGGGGACAAGUCAACGUGGGGUAGGCAAGCAUUUCACUUUGAGAGGACAGCAUGCACUGAGGCACUGGAUUAGGAAAUCAAGGGGGCACGUUUGAAGAAGUGGUGUCUUACCUCCAACCUAGGCCUCCCUGAGAUUUCAGGACAGGGGUAUGACUGAACACAAUCCUAGAGUGGAGCACGAGGACUCCUCCAAGGUCAUCCCUGAGUUUAGAAAAUUUACAUUUGGUGGUUGGUCUCUCCUAUCCUAUUCUCACCCAUCCUGGGAAGUUCCAUCUGCUUGGUUUUCUAUUAUUUGCAGUAGUGUAGGCUUUGUUUCAAGGACCCUGGCCAGUUUGUCAGAGGACAUGCACAUCAUCUAUGAAGGGCAGAAAAAGCAGCAGAGCCUGACUUUGCAGCUGCGUCUGAAAAAGGGUCAGAGUAACCUGGCUCCCACCCCGUGUUCAAGUCCAAGAGGACCCAAGUCCUGAGAUUGACCAGUUAUCCUCAAGAGCAUUCCAUCUGUCUCUUUUCUCCUCGAUUCCAACCCCUGGGGGCUAAGAUUCAUUCCCGCGAUACGUGCAGGUCCUACAGCCUCUCUGGCCCUUCCCCUGUGCUUGGCCAAUUCAUUCAGCCAUUUAUUCAUUCAUGCACGCGUGGAUGUAUCCAAGUGUAUUCCACUCAUAUUCUAUGCCAGACCUUGGUUUCACCAUCCCUUUCCUAUGAAAAUUUUGUUUUGCCUUCUACGCUAUUUCCAUUUUUUCUACCUCAAUGAUUAUUUCUUCCACUUUCUUUUGUUGGAUUCUAUUUCUUUCUCUACUCUAUAAACGUGGAUGGACCACCUUUGAACUGUUCUCAUAAUCCGCCCUACUCCCACAUUCUUUAGCCCUGCUGUACUCACAGCCAAGGCAGCUGUGCAGUCCAGUGGUGAGACAGGGAAGGGAUGCAAGCGUUUUACUCAGUCACUUAGUCUGCCUGCCAGAGCCUCAAUUCCAGUAGCUGGGAUUUUCCCCUUAUUUCUGAGACAUUAAUGGGAUCCCUAGUUAUAGUCAUCUCUUGUGCUUGUGUCCCCUGUCCCUAAAUUUCUCCCUUGAAAAUGUGUUGGGCUCUUGCUGCUCCUAGCCUUUUGUUUCCUCCUAUAAUUGGAGCUCCUUCACCUGCAAACUCAACACCAGGGCCAGCCCCCCAUCUUGGAACACAGAAUCAGUUCCCUGUGGAUCUGGUCCAGUCUUCACUGCAUGCUUCAGUAUAAAGAGAAAAGCACAAACUGGGGUCAGAUUCAUCUGUGCUCCAAUUCAAAAUUGUGUGAGGCAAGUUGUGCAACUCUUUGAUCUCAGUUUUCUUAUUGUAAAAUUGACCACAGGCAAAAUUUCUGUUAUCUACUUUCUGUUAUCUACCUAUCUUAUCUAUCUAUCUACCUAACAAAACCCUAUGUUUAUAUAGAUAUCAAGUAAUCACAAACUUCUGGGGAGGAGGUUGAAGCCCCCAGUGGGUUAAUCUUGAUCUAAGCCAAUCAAAGUAAUUCCUUUAUUUUGCCAACAACUGCUUUAAGUAUGUGCAUGUGUUGAAAUUCUGGCCAAUGAGGCAUGAGGGGUAUGUUUGCUGGGAGACACAGGGAAAGCAUUUCUGCAAAAGAAAAAGGAGCCUCAGGGAAAGAAACACAUACUUUUCUGCCCCAGAAUGUUGUUAUCUUAUGUGAUGCCUGGGCUGUGUUAGCCAUUGCAUGAGGCUGCAUGUGGCAGACCAAAAGGACAUGCCAUUCCCCCGGGGGAAUGGCAAGGUAGAUUAAUGAGAAAACCUGGUUCUGGAUAACACUGUUAAGCCGCUUAAUCAACCCUGAAACUCUGCCUCCUCCAGUCUUCUUAUUGCAUAAGACUUUUUUUUUUUUUUUGUUUAAGUCAUUUUUAGUUGAGUUAAUGCUACUCACAGGCAAAACUAUUCUGAUAUACGGCAUUAGAAUACCUAUCUUACCAUGUUCAAAUAAGAGACUCUCUGCUCAUCUUUUAGAUCUCAGUCCAAAUGUCACCUCCUCAAGAAAGUCUUCCCUGAUUGUUCAUCCGAGCUCACAUUGUUCUGUCAUACAUUUGCCAUUAGCACUGUGUAUCGUUCCUUCUUUUCUUUCAUAGCACUGACGAGCGUUUGUUUAUCUGGUUAUUCACCCUCUCCCUCACUAAUCUAUAAGCUCUGGGAAGGCUGGCAGUGUUUCUUUUGCUGACCACUGUGUCUCUUGUAGCUAGAAUGGUGCCCAACAUGUAAUUGGUUCUUAAAUAUUUGUUAAAGAAUAAAAAUUAAUACAUGAAUAUCAAUAGGAAAAAAAACUGGUACAUAGCAGGAAAGUUUAUCUUUGUGUCCUUUCUGAGACUGAAAGUUGAUCAACUCUCUCCUUUUUUUCAUGUUGACAGAUGACUUUGUACCCAGUCAUUGGCUGAUGUGUUUCAAAACAACUUUAAAUGUACUUUGAAAUGCGCCAUUAUUUCAUCCCCUCAGGAGCCGGUGCAAUUCCCGCCACCCCUUGCUACUAUUCUUUCAGCAUUCAUGACAGUCAAGCAAACCCUUUCUUUGAUUUUUCUUCCUCUACAGGCUCUAGGUGACUGAUUAGUCAUUACUUGUGAAUAAUGGCCAGGGAGGUUGCUGAGCCAUGGAGGAAUCUGGCCACCUGGCCACUGAGCACUCAGCUCUCAGCUAGUAAGAUAAAAGCAAUUUUGCCACCAACACCAUCCUAAUAGGAUGUCCAAAGAGUUUCCUUCCACUGUUCAGUAGGGACCAUGAGGAUCAUGAAUGGAAGGUGAUAUGAGGGUUUGGGGAGGAAUAAACUGGAACAGCUUGUCAUCCCUCAGGAGUAUUUCGGAAACAAGCCAGCACACCAUGGUAAUUUAUUUUUGUGACACAUUAGUUUGCCUUGGAGGGAGAAAGUAUGAGAGUUUGGAGAGUUAGAGUUUACAGGGAGAGGGGCAGAGCUUAUCCUUAGUUCUCUCUUAUCCACUGACAUGGAACAACAAGGAUGGAUGGCAUUAGUAACAAUAAUAAAAAUUACAGGCUCAAAGGAAAUGGAGUUGACAGCAGAGAGUACACAUGGUUAGUUAUCUAGUCCAGCAUUUCUCAGAAGAUAUUUGGCAGAGCACAAGUCUCUCAAAUGCCCUUUGCUAAAAGGUUCAUGGUUAAAUUACUGUUCUUGGAGAACAGCAUGCACUUACUUGUCCACCACCCCACCCCCAGCCCUUUUGACUGUACUUUGCUCAGUAAAUAGGAAGGUCCCUGCAUUAUAAAUAAAUCAACUGGCUUUGUCUAACCCAGUGUUCUGGUGUUCAUUUCACCAAGGAAACCCUUAUUUUAAAAAAUGAAUAUUAACAGCUUCUGGAAGGAAGAUAUUUUAGGAAAUGCUGAUGUGAGCAAGGGUGGUUACUAGGUACUCUUAUCUAAUAUUUACUGAGAAAUUUAUUUAUUCAUUCAUUUAUUAGAGAAAGAUAUAUUGAGAGACUCCUUUGUGUAACGUAAUGGGCUGGGAGCAACGAACACAGAUUUGGCCAAUGCCUGCCUGAAGCUUAUAAUCUAGUGCACAAGACGAAAUCAAUUUCCCAAUUAAUUUCUUUUUUAUUACUGUGGUGAGUCUACAAUGAGGAGCGUAAGAUAUAUGUAAAUUUAAAUAAUGGUAUAAAAUAGAUGGUUAGGGGUAACCAGGGAAGCCAUGCUGGUUGUCCGGGACCGGGGAUGUCCUGUGAUGGGUGACUUUCAGUUCUAAAACAAAGACAGUCCUGGGCAAAUCAGAAUGGUUGCUUACCCUAAUAGACCAUGACUCCUGGAGUGCCAUCUGAAAAUCUUAUUAUGGCAGAGAGAACUCUGCCAGGCCGGAGACCUGUUCUCUGGGGUUGCUUCAGCUCCCUGAGCCUGACUUUCUGUCUCUGGGGAGUGGAGGUGAUGAAGUCUCCUUUCUCUUAUGUUUUUUGGGAAUAACAAGUGGAGUGAUUCCUAUAGAAAGCCUUUACCAGAUAUCACACGCUUCCUAAGCACAAGGGAUGAGUAUUCCUUUAGGGAAACUGUAGUUUGUCACUCCUUGAAGGAAAGCCCCUAUUUCUCCAGAAGAGGGUUUUCAGAGCACAUCUCUCGCCACACAUCCAGGUUUCUAAAUCCUCCAGCAAGAAGCGUUUUUCACAGAUCCAAGAACAGAAGCACCUGCGUAAGUUCACAUGGGAGGUGUAAAUCAUGGAGGGGAGCCAUUGAGAUGCUUCAAGACAGCACUUCCUCCAGGCCAGAGAAGGCCUCAGCCCAAGAAGCAGCUUCCUGCUGCUAGGCAGGGUGGGGACAGAGGGCAGUGCCUGGCCUCUGCAGAACCAAAGAGCAGGCUUGCAGUGGGCUUGUGUACUCAGGCGAGUCUCAUGAUCUUCUGGGGUUUUAAUGUCUUCCUCCGUAAGGUGGGAAUAUUGAUUUUUAUUUCAUCCAAUUAUUGGGAACUUUAUACUACUGCUACUAAUAUAGUCAGAAUUUAAUGAAUUUACCAUGCACUAGAAAUUGUGCCAUGUGUUUACAUAUACAUUUAAUCACCACAAAAAGUAGAUUUGGUUAUCUUCCAUCUGACAAAUGUAAAAAAUGGGGCUUAGAGAGGUUAGGAGGCUUGCCAAGGUAGGGUGACCAAUUGUCAUUGUUUGCCCAGGACCAAAAGUCCCACAUCGUGGGCAAUCCCUUAGCCCCAGGGAACCUGGGAUGGUUGGUCAAGCUAGAAAAUCAUACAAUUAGCAAGUAGUGGAGCUGAUAUAUAUUUGAGGUAGAAGAUUAUUUGUUAAAAUUGCUAAAAACACAACCAGCAACAAUUAUUAUUGCCAUUUUAUAUAGUAUGUAUAUAUCAUAUGCUUAUAUAUAAUGUAUACAUAAGAUACAUCAUAUUAUUAAUAUAGUAACACUCAUUAUUUGAUGAACUGCAAUUUCAGUAUAAACAAAGGGCUUCUAGCCUUCUAAGAAAGCCCCUUUCCAUUAAUAAUGCUCAUCUAACAUUAGUGCUACUCAUCAGUAUUUAUAGUUUUCUUCUUUCUGUGCCCAGAACCUUUGAUCUCAGGCAUGACCAGGUGAUUUGUUUUGACCAAUGAAAUGUGAGUGCAAGAGAUGUGCAUCACUUCGGGGCAGAAACAUGCAAGAAUCAGGGUGCAAUUUUUCAUCUUCCUUGCAGUAAAUGCUGAUGGUGCCUCUCCCAUAUCAUUUUUGCUGGCUGGGACACACUCCUCAGCUGCUGUGAGGGUUGGGGUGCUAACAGAUCAUAACUGUCUCUGCUCAGCAGGGUUAAGAGCACCAAAUCCGGAGUCAGGCCACCUAGUUCAAGUCCAGCUCUGACAUGAAAGGCUGUGUGCCCCUAGGCAAGUUGCUUAACAUCUCUGAGCCUUAGUUUUCUUAUCUCUAUAAGGGAGAAUUCCUACCUUAUACCGUUGAUGUGAGGAUUAUAUGAGUAAUGCUUUUAAGACUCUUGUAACAGUUUGGCACAUAGUAAGCCCUAAGGUUGGCUGUUUUUAUUUCUCCUGCUUUACUUGUUCUCUAGCAUAGUAUGACAGUGCAUACCAAGGUUCCUCAUAUGUUGCUCAAAAGACAAUUUUGAUUAACAUGUGGAGAGCCGAAUUCCAGAGAUGCUGAGCAAUUUCUUCAGCAUCACAUGGGGCUUAAUACUGGAGUUUGAAUAAGAACCAAGACAGGAGAAUGAGAGUAAUAACAACAAGUCAGCAAUUACUAUUCACUAGGUACUGCAUUAUCUCAUUUAAUCUUCACAAAAGCAUCUGAGUGGGACAUUAUUAUAACCUUCAUUUUACAGAUGUGGAAAUAGAAGCAAAAAAGGUGAAGUAAAUUUUUACUGUUAGUAGGUAGUGGCAGAGUUAGAAAAAAUAGAAAUUUGAUAUUUUAGGAUGAACUAUUAUUUAGCAACAAAAAUGGGAACUGUAAUUACUAUGUUUAAACAAUGUGUUGAGUAUUAGUUUCUGUUUAGAAGAGUAAACAUGAUUGCUUAUUUAUUUAUACAAGUAUUACAUACAACAUACACUAUUUUAUACUUUGCUCUUUAUAAAGUGACCUUUUAAUUUUAAGAAUAUCUAGAUUUGCAGAAAGAUUGCAAAAAUAGUACAGAGAGUUCUCACCUACCCUUUGCCUGACUUUCCGCAAGGUUAAUAUCUUACAUUACAAUGGUGCACUUGUCAAAACCAUGGAAUUAACAUUGGUACAUUACUAUUAACUAAAAUCCAGACUUUAUUUGGAUUUUGCCAGUUUUUCCACUAAUGCUCUUUGUCUAUUCCAGGGUCUAGUCCAAAGACUACCAAAUCUUAAGUGAACAAAAAGCCUUGGCGAUGAUGUAAAAGUUUGUUUGCUAAUGGAAUAAAGAUUUGAUAUUAGGGCAGUGUAAUUAUAGGUGAUAUUUUUUCCUAUGUUUAAAGCUUUAACACUUUUGUUACAUUAACUAUUUAGGAGAUGUUAUUAUUGGAAGCCUCCUGUACUGUGAGAGGCUGGCAUUGUCCAACUCAAACCAAGUUGUGGACUGGAAGAAGCACAAAUUAUCUGCUGGACCCAUGGUAUGAGGGAAAAGCAUGUGUGAGUAUGUGUUGAGGAGUGUAGGUGAUGGGAGAGCUGGUCCACCGUUUGUCACUAAGGAGGAACAGGAAGUGGCAGGGGCUGGAUGCACCUACAUUCUGCCUUGUCAGUCUGUAAUCCAGUGAUUGGUAAAUCUAGAAGUGACUUCAAAGAUUUCUUCAAAAUUGGCUUCUGAGGUUCUUAGAAAAAACAUUUAUUAAACAUCUACAGUUUUCUAAGCUUUCUGUUGGCUGCCUUACAUAUACUGUCUCCUAGAAUCCUCAAAAUAAGAUGUCUAUAUUCCCUUUUUAUCUUAUUUUAUUUAUUUCUGAGACAGAGUCUCACUCUCUUGCCCAGGCUGGAGUGCAAUGGCAUGAACACAGCUUACUGCAGCCUCAACCUCCUGGGCUAAAGUGAUCCUCCUGCCUCAGCCUCCCAAAGUGCUGUGAUAUCAGAAGGGAGUCACAAUGCCAGGCCCAUAUUCCCAUUUUAAAAUUCAAAAGAGAGGUCAGAGAGGAUAAGUGACUUGCCCAAGGACACACAGCUUGUCAGUGACAGAGCAAGGAUUUAAACUCAGGUUUUUCUGAGCUUAUUGGUUUUUGAUGUUCCAAAUUACACUUUUUUGACAUCUCCUCAAAAAAAGUCUUUUUGGAAUUUGACAUCAAAGGGAGGUCCUAACAUUCUACUGGGCAUUUGGCUAAGAGGCCUGAAGGGAUACCUAGCGAAAGAAUAAGAAGGUUUCAGGAGGCACAGUGGAGUUUUACGUGUGGAUGUGUGUUUGCAGAGUUGAUGUAGAUUUCAAUCUCUCACUGCUCUCUCCCUCAGCUGAACAAUAAUAAGAAAUCUUGUGUCAUCUGGUUAAAACUAGCAUUCUGGAGGUUUUGGAGCGGGGCCAGCAUGUGCAUGAAUGAGCAGGGCUCAGUCAGCCUCCAGGUCCAUUCAGGGGUUCCCUUGAAACUGACCAAGUUGAGUUUCCUGAGUUGGAUGCUUGGGAAACCUCCAACUUGGGUUUGAGGGUUCACAUGUGCAUUCAUGCACACAUACGUGCACAUGCAUGCACAUUCACGCACACACAUACAUGCACACACACGCACACAAUAAAUAAAGCAGAAUGAAAAAGCUGGAGGCACCCCAGUGUGCCCUAUUUACAAACCGCUUACUUCCUUCCGGGUGUUAUUUGAUUUUCUCCUUCACUGAGAAAUGGGGAGACAUCAGAAUGAGUGAUGUGCUGGAGAGAGGCCUCCCAACCAUCCCUCAGUCUCCCUCGCCCCCUCGGUCUCUUUCGUGUGACAGGAUGCCCUCAAUUACUCUCUCUGGGGGGGUCCCAGUCAGAAAGAAGAUGGAGCCAACCAUCUGUUACCGACUCAGUGAGCAAUUUAAUUUCCUCUUGUUCCCAGUGAGGAGGAUUUCGUAAGUACAUAAAUUAACGUCAGUCCUGCUUAAUCAGAAGCUGGCCGUCUAAAAGGGUGGAGACGGUCAAGCCAGAGACACCCACUGACCAGGUCCUACCAGGAGGACAUCUUGCACGCUGGUAGGAAAACCAUAUGAGAGAAAUGUCAGACACAGAAACUUCCUUAGGGAUCAUCGAAUCUGACACCUCUUUUAUAACUGAGGAAAUCAGAGCCAGAAAGGAAAAACAAUCUGUCUAGCUAGGCAGGGCAGAGUUAGGACUUGAACUAAAGAGCCCCAAUUCCCAAAAUCACUCUUCCCAACACAACACAAGGUAGAACAAUGACUUGAUUACUCGACCUUGGGUUUGAUCUCUAGAGGUAGAAUAAGAAAACAAUAGUCAUGAUAACAAUGACAACCUCAAGAGCUACACUGUAUGUAGCCGGCACUGAGAGAGGCAGACAGUGUGGAUUUAUUGAGUGGGCUCUGGAGCCAGGCUGCCUGGGUUUAAAUCCCAGUUCUGUCACUUACUAGCUGUUGGUCGGAGGGCAAGUUCUUAACCUCUGGGAUUUAGAGCAGACAUUCUGAGUUCGUGGCAUCUAUCCCUUCAGAUCCCUUCAGUACUUGCCUCUGAUCCAGCCCCACUUUCUAUGGCCAGCACCUGCAUCUUUGUUGCAGGGCUGUGCUUGGGCUUCCAGAACCCACUUUGUCAAUGUGCUCUUUGUCAAUGUGCAGGCCCAGUCUUCUGGGGGCAGCUUUGAACCAACGACCGACAGAUAAUGAGGGUAUAAAUGCCCCAACUCCCUUGCCUCUUGACUGGGAUAGUUCCAAGGCACGUGUUUUGCACUGUUUUUCACAGUUUCCCUGAAAGAUUAAGCACUAGUUACCCACUGUAGUAGCUGACUUAAUCAUGCGGUUAUUGGCUGGCUUCCCUUUUCUUGAUGUUACCCAUGCUCUUUGCACCUCUCCAGAAAUUAUUUCCACUUGAGAUCUUGUCUCAGGAUCUGUCUCUGGUUGGUUAGUCCAAGAUCAGACAGUGCCUCAGCUCUCUCAGCUAUAAAACUAUGAUAAUAAUAGUUCUUAUAUCACAGAGUUGUUACGGCUAAAUGGCCUAAAAUGCAAAGAACAAUGCCUGCCACUUAGUGAGAAUUCAACAAAUAUUAGCUAUGUGUCUGAUAAACACUUAUUUCAUUAUCUCAUUAAGUCCAUACUGUACAUACUAUUACUACCAUUAUACAAAUAAGACCAUCCAAGCUCAGAGAGGUUAAAUACUUCUCCCGAAGACCUGUAGUUGUAAGGAAAAUGUCAAGAUCCAAACACAAAUUCACUUUCAAAGUUCCUUCCAUUUUUGCCUUGGCCAGGAGGUUAUCCUCAGUACUCCCAGUCUGGGUCAAGGGUCCCUCCUCUUGUGCUCCUGCGACCUCAGCCACAGCAUUUGCUUCAGGGUAUUAAUAUGGCCCUCCUGCUCGUUGAACUGUUCCUUUAAGCUAUGAGCUAGGCAUCUCUGUAAGCUCAGCAUCUAGCCCAAUGCCCAGCACAUAGUAGGUUCUGGUGAGUGCUGAAUAAAUGACUACACAAAUCCAAGCAGUGCGUAAGCUGCAGAGGCAGGCAGAGGGUGAAGCCCGGCAUGAAAGUCUGUCUCAUGGCCUUCAGAUUUCAAUUGGAAGCAUCUUGGAAAUCUUCCCAGGCAAUUCUCUUCUCCUCCCACUCCUACUGCAGACAGGAUUUGCAAAUAUGGUUGGAUAGGUCUCUUGCGGGGGUUCCACAAUUUCAUCAAGGUGUCUAGUCCUCCCUAAAAUCUUGUCAGGAAGACAAGGAUCUCCCAGGUGACCACGUAGAGAUAAGCAGGAAUCUCAUCACAGUAACUGCUCCAUGUGAAGUCAUGCUGGACUGGCAGAAGCUUCCAAGGACUGUUACAAAAUAUGAGAAAAAGUAGGCAGGAGAUGAAAAGUGGGUUAAUGAGGCUGAAAAUACAGAUCUUCUAAUGAUAGUGAUGGUCUAAUCACCCCCAGCUCUUUUGAAUGCUUUAUACAGACGGGCCUCAACAUAUUGUUUAAGAAUCCACAUUCUGGAGUCAACAUUGCCUGAGUUUGAAUCUUUCUCUGUCACUUACUAGCUGUGUGGUCCUGGACAAAUUAUUCAGUCUCUCUGUGCCUCAUUUGUCUUACUUGUAAAAUGGGCAUGAUACCUACUUUCCUCACAGGAUUGCAUAAAUAAAUAGCAUGUAAAAUGCUGGGGCCAGUGGUCUCGCACAGAGUAAGCAAGUAGGCAAUUGCUGGUUUUUACCAGGCACUGAAUAACACUUAAAGUAAUAAAGAGUGGACUAAGACAAUCUCUGUUCUCAAAAAGCUCAGAAUCUAGGGUUCAGGUCACUAAACUUUUUUGAUUAUAUACCCCUUCUAUAAUAAAGAGCUUGAGCAUGUUCCUCCAAUAAAUGUUUCUUUACUGAAGGGAGAUGAACAAUGAAACCAAGAAGAAGGUACUGAGGAGUACAGAGAAGCAGUAUUCAGCCCAGCCCUGGGGGUGGUGACCAGUGGAAGUCAUGAAAGGCUUCCUGGAGGAGGUGAUACUUGAACUAAAUGCCAUUUCCCCAGAGAAGCAGUCUGACCCUCAAGACUUGAUUAGGCCCAUCUAUUAUUUGUUCUCAAUGCAACCUACAUUUUCCUGCCUGCGACUUCAUAGCAAAUUGUAAGUAAUUAUGUAUGUAAUUAGUCCCCAUGUAUUAGGCAGAAUUCUGUCAUAUGCAAAUGACAGAAAACUCAAACUAGCUGGAACGAAAAGAGUGGAAUGUCUUGGGUAGCUGGAAAGGGUGUGAGUGCGACUCAGAAUGGAAGGACAGACGGAUUGCAGCCACCGGGGCCUCAGGGAGAGGACAGGGUCUCCACACAGUCAGAUUCUUUCUCUCUCCUCAUCUCUGAGGUUUGCUUGACCUCCUCUGCUAAUACUGCACAUAUGGAGGGAACAUGGUCACUGGCAUCUCCAGGUCCACACCUCACAGCUGCUGGAAAGGUGUGAUCCCCCUGCAUGAGUCAAAUACCCACCCACAGAACUGUCUCCACCUAGGACGUGGAGAUGGGCUACUGUGAAUGGCUGGGCCGUGGUCAUGUGCUCACCCUGCUCAGCACUGCCACUGAGAGGGCCCUCAGUGUCACAUGACCUGGAAGGGCAGUGCUACUCCUCAAAGGAUGUGUUAGGGUGCGGCAGGCCCACAACAUUUGUAUCUUUUUUAAUGCUAUAUCCCCCACAAAUACUUACAGAUAUUUUCUACUAGGUGUCAGCCACUGUUCUAGGUAGUAGAGGAUAUGAAAGUAAAAUCUAAGUUCUUGCUUGCAUUAGAGCUUAUACUGGAAUGGGGGAAGACAGAAAGCAAGCAUGUUAAUAAUCACAAAUGUCUCAGGUGGUGAUAUGUGCUCUGGAGAAGAACAAAACCGGGUACAGAGGGUGGGGGAUGGUGAAGGGACACUAUAUUCCGCAGCAUGGUUAGAGAUGGCAUGUUGAAAGUGGCACAGGCAGUACCAGAUGGUGAGGCUCUUCCGUGUUGUUCUGAUGGAUUGGAACUGAGUCCUCCUGCCCGGCUUUCUCCCUCCUUUUCUUCUCUCCCUUCCUCUGUUCAUUCUUUUGCAGUUUUUCUUAAAAUGUAGUCUUUAGAUUGUAUGUAUCAGAAUACCCACUGGGGGCAGGAUACUUGUCAAAAAUGCAGGUUCCCAGGCCUCUCCCAAGACCCAGAGAUUCAGACUCUCCGAGGUGAGGCCUGAGAAUCUGAAUCAUUAACCAGCUCUCCAGGCGGCUCUUAGGCACAUUCACAUUUGACAACUAUUCUCUGAGGUGGUAAUGAGAUAAGAGAGGCUCUGAAUAGGGAAGAAAACUGAUCUCACUUGUGUUUUAGAAAGAUAGGUCUGAAAUCUACACAGAGGGUGGCUGCAGGCCCAGAGACUGGGCUGUUGUCGAGGUCCCAGAGACCAAGAGAAAACAUGUGGCCAGAGGUGCUGGGACAGAGAGAAUGUUUAGGUGACAAAUGGAAAGGAACUGGUGACUGCUUGAGUGUGGGGAUGAAGGAGAAGAAGUGGUUCAAAGGCUUCCUCUGGUCUGACUAGGGUAUGUGGGGGUAGCAAUACCAUUCACCCAAAUGGGAAGUGCAAACAUCGCUGACACUGCACUUCUUUAUUUAAAUACUCUACAACCAAGAAGUAAUUUUAGAGUCCCAUAUUAGAGGAGUAGCUUUUGACUACAUUGAGCAGUUGGAUACAAACGUUCUUAAUUGUUUAUUUUCUUUCUUAUCUUCCUAGUAUUUCUACUUUUUUGAGCUUCUGAACCUUUACCCAAAAGGAGUUGGUGUUAACGACUUGUUUUUGUAAUCUCUGAUAUUAGUGUGAUUCAUUUGCCAAGGGGAGACCAUUAAGAAGGAGCCAACUUCAUCUCCAUGGCAUGGAGUGAGAGGUGGGGAAUGAUACUGAAGAGCUAAGAGAUUCAAUGCACUAAGAAUAUGGUGACCAGAACUUCUGGUUGUUCCAACUGGGAAUCUUGGGUGAAGUUGGCUGCUCUGUUGGAGAAAGCUCCCCAUUCCCACAUACCUGUAUAGAAUCCUGUAGGAUAGGGGAUAUUUCCUUAUCUCUCUUCACUCUCCUCCAAAGCUCCAAUGGAUGUAUUCUAGGUACAACUAGCUAAUAAUUGAGUGUAAGAAUUAUAUUAGAUAAUGCUUAAAAAAUUCUUGGCACUCCAUGCCACUCCACUUCAUUUCCUCAAUGAAGGAGGCUGGGCAGAUAUUACUAGCCUCCUUCUACACAUUCAGAGAAAUGAAGUGACUUGCCUGCGAUCACAGAGCCAAGAUAAAGAUCUGGCUUCAAAUCUUGGCCAGUUGUAUUUUAAAGUUUCUGUGUUUUUCACCACAGAGUAGGUGAGGCUGGGCAAACUGUGAGGACCUCAGUUAAACAGGCUGGUGCUGGGGAUGGCUUCUAUGCCAGGAGGAAAGAUCAUGACUAGUCUGAGAAGCUGAAGCAGCAGCCAUCUGAUCCUCUACUCCAUGGUGGCCCUUUCCAGACUACAGACUGUGGUUUCUCUGCUCAUCAGCAAUCAAAUCUAAAUUAUCUCCGAUAUUUGUUCAAUAACUCAGACGUGCUAAGGUUAGCUGUCUUAUAAAUUAUGGAACAGUUUAACUGAGUUAAGCCUGAGGCAUAAAUAACAGAGACUCUCCACCCAGUGACAGGGCACAAGGCUGGAGGCAGCAAAAACACAGUAAUAGUGACAGAAAAAAGGACUAUCUUCCUCUUUUAGGAGAAGCCUGACAGGGAGGAGGAAAGUAGAUGAGAAGGGGGCUAGGCAGGAGGGAAUUCCAGGACGAGGGGAUGACAGAGCAAAGGAAACAGGCCCUGGGGAAGAGGAGGAGCUUUGUGGAGGCAGAAGCUCAGUUUACUGGUGAACAUGAAAUCAUCCUUGGGGGUGUCUGUGGGACGUCCAGUGGAGGUGUCUGAUGAGUGCCUGAACACAUGGGUUACCGCUUCUCUGUUAAAAUGUGGGAAACAGCUAUAAUGCAUAAGAUAUGAGUGGUAGCUACGACCAUGGGGGAAAAACAAGGUCAUGGAAAGCAUAUAGA